rnacentral:rRNA from 1 species
UACGUAGGUGGCGAGCGUUGUCCGGAAUUAUUGGGCGUAAAGCGCGUGUAGGCGGUUCGGUAAGUCCGCCGUGAAAACCUGGGGCUCAACCCUGGGCGUGCGGUGGAUACUGCCGGGCUAGAGGGUGGUAGAGGCGAGUGGAAUUCCUGGUGUAGCGGUGAAAUGCGCAGAUAUCAGGAGGAACACCGGUGGCGAAGGCGGGUCUCUGGGCCGUUACUGACGCUGAGACGCGAAAGCGUGGGGAGCAAACAGG